CGGGGGCAUAAUUCAGGAACGCCGGUCUGGCCAUUUAAUUGGUCGGGCCGCUGGUCCUGAUCCUUUACUUUGAGAAAAUUAAAGUGCUCAAAGCAGGCUCGCGCCUGAAUGCAUUAGCAUGGAAUAAUAAGACACGACUUCGGCGCCGCCUCGGCGGUUGUUUUGUUGGUUUUGAGCUGGAGUAAUGAUUGAUAGAAACAAUUGGGGGUGCUAGUAUCGCCGGGCCAGAGGUAAAAUUCUUUAAUUCCGGUGAGACUAACUUAUGCGAAAGCAUUCACCAAGCGUGUUUUCUUUAAUCAAGAACUAAAGUUGGGGGAUCGAAGACGAUCAGAUACCGUCGUAGUCCCAACCAUAAACGAUGUCAACUAAGCAUUGGGCUAUCAAACUUCCUCAGCACUUUUCGAGAAAUCAAAGUUUUCGGACUCAGGGGGAAGUAUGCUCGCAAGAGUGAAACUUAAAGGAAUUGACGGAAGGGCACCACAAGUUGUGGAGCCUGCGGCUUAAUUUGAUUCAACACGGGAAAACUUACCAGGUCCAGACAUAGUAAGGAUUGACAGACUAAAGUUCUUUCUUGAUUCUAUGCAUGGUGGUGCAUGGCCGUUCUUAGUCCCUAGGGUGACCCCUCUGGUUAAUUCCGAUAACGGACGAGACCCCACCCAUCUAACUAGCCGGCGCUAACCCGGCGCUCGGCGCCAGUUAGCGGGGUGCAGCAUUGCGCGCCCGGCUUCUUAGAGGGACUAUCUGUGUCUCCAGCAGAUGGAAG
rnacentral:rRNA from 1 species